CUCAAAAACCUGACGUCAUAGAGCAAUUUCGCGGCCGGAUUCGUGUUCAGCGUGAAAAAAUACAUCGAAAAUGAUAUCUUAUAUUCAAACAGCAAAAACCAUGUCGGCCUGUGUAAUGUACUUGAUUCUAUGAUCAAGUACUUUUUUGAUUUCUUUUAUAGUAUUAUUUGGUACAUGUAUGUAAUAAAAAAAUUGACAGACUACAUUAUGCCACCAACAUGUUGGCACACAUUUUCUCGUUUGGAUAAAUAAGUUUUUUUUAAUAAAAAAUAGACAUGAGAUUGUAGUUCGUAUAACCCGCUACAAGAUCUUGUCAAAGUUCUGUUUUGCAUUCUGUAAAUUUGAAAUGCCGCAUCAAAUCCGCUCACGUAACUGCAGUGAAAUUUCGCUUUACGCAGCUGGACGAUUAAUCUCGGUCGAUUCGUUGGCAGGUUUCCGGGGAAUGACUAUCGACAGUUCCCACAAUUUCUUCUAACCUUCGCCCUUCCAGCACCGUCGUAUGAUCGUAUCCGCCAUCUGACCCAGCAUUGAAAUAUUAUCGGCGUUAAGGAAAGUGCUGGGAGCAGGAAUAUCCUCGAUCAUCAUAAUCAGAAUACGACGUGACAGACGACUCUGUAGACCUUAUCAAGUUUUCACGUUGCCGCUUGUGCGAAAUGAAAAUCGUUAAUAACGGUCUAAAUUUUCUCCUGAAAUGUCGGUAAGAAUUAUUCGAUUACCUCGAUUCGAAAUACAUUUUUGUGUUAUUUCAAAAGUUAAAAGCAUUACCCUGUAUGAAAUUAAAAAAUAUUUCAUAAAUGACAUCGUUGAACCGAGCUUGUCUUUUAUCAAUAAAUGAUAAAAAUUAUCUCCCAGUAGACUCUCAAGUGAUAAUCGACCAAGUCAAAUCAUCAUGGUGCAUUUCGGCUUUCAAACCUUUAUAUCCACUAUGUAUCCACGGUAAUGAUAAGUAAUGUCUCGCGUUCGAUCAAAUAAUGCCGUUUUUACGAUGCUUUUAAACUCACAUGUGCGACGUCGAAAAGCUUAACGACCUAGACGGUCCAGGCUUCGCCAUCUCAGAGCAUUGCACCGACAAGAUCGGGAUAGUAAUGCAGAUUUAUCGGUACAAAACGAUAUUUCUGCAAAAAACUGUACACGAAGAUCGUUACGGAAUGACGAAGAUAUUGGUUUAAAACGGACAAUCAAUUUUUUUUGUCGGCUUUUAACUCAAAAUAAUACCCAGUUGUUUGCUGGCGCAAGUCCUUGCAUAGCGCAAAAUGUUUAUCAAAUUAUCCCACUUACAAGAUUACAUUUUAAUUAAUUUCUUUACUGCGUAAUGCAAAUUUCGCGUAAAAUUACUUUGCAACCAUCACAAACAAAUCAGCAAUCAGUCAUUCAUAUAGCCAAUUAUAUUUAUGCCUAUCAUAUUUUUUUUACAGCAAUUAUUAACCAAUUUUUGUAGAUACUAUCUUUAAGACGUUAAAAAAAGAGAAGUAUUGAUUUCGUUCUCUAAUUAUAGACUGACCGAAGCAACGUUAUUAUUACUGAGCAUUUCCAUCCCGACGGCAUCCAUCUUUCAUGGAAGAUGCACGGUUACAAAAUGACGACGGUGCUCCUUCGAGCGCGCAACGACCUUACCUUCCUCUUGGAUUAAUCUCGGUCGGAAUAAUUGCAUCCUAGUACGUGAUAGAUGAUGUCACUUCGCCGUUCGUAACCUUGUAUUCCAUAACUUCGCAAUAUGGCGCGCAACUUGCAUCGAAACUCGCCAAGAUCGAGGAGACGAUUGUUACACAGUUCGGGAAAGGGGAAGACAAUCCCUGCACAGCAUUCGAGAGAAUCGCAAAUUGGGUUUUCCUACCGUACCAACCACGGAACGAACGAUCCCAUCUGCGAAACAUCGCGAUCACGGAUUUCGACGUGCAGCCCUUCCGAUAAUGUAGGUCACGUUGUAUAUAAAUUAACGAUUUAAAUGUAUCCUUGCCUGAUUGAACGAGCGACGAGAGAAAUAAGAAGAGUAUUUCGAAUUAAGAGAAUGCAAUGUGUAUUAACGAUAUACAUAAUAUCGUCCGAAAGAUACGGAGUAUCUCGCAAUACAUCUAUCACGUACGUUUGUCACGUACAUCGCCGUUAUUGUCAUUAGCGUAUCCGAAAAGUCGACUAUUUGCGUAAUCACACCGCUGGACUUGCGACCAGCAUUUCCCUCUCGUUUGGGUGUUAACUAUCCGCAAAAAUGCAGUCUCUCCUUGGCAAGAAGGUAAACCACAUCAUCUUCCUCUCUUGGCGCGGUUUCGCGUUUAACCUGGCAAACUACGGCGGAGCGUAAUGGACCGCGAGCAUUGCGCCGUCUCUUUUCUCGCGGAUGUUAUUUAGUAGAAAGUACUUAUUCACGAGAGCAGUAAAGCGCCUAUUAUAAGUCUCCAGAGACAAAUAACCGUUGAGCUUACCCCAUAUCGCACGCUUUCAUAAAUCGAGUCGUGAAGGAGGAAGAAGUCGAGGGUGAAAACGAAAGAAUAAGAAGAGAGGAUGAAGACUGAAAUGGAAAGACGCUGGAAAAAAGGAGCUGGAAAGAAAUGGACUACAGGACGAGAACGACUGCGUCUAUAGACGCGGAUGCAAAUAGAACGGAUAGGAGCUGCUGGAAGAACGCGUGACUGCAUAUGAUGAAUCGGAGAGCGAGAGUGAGAGUGAAAAAACAGUCGAUAAAGGGAUCCGAACAAAGGAACGUGAAUGUGUGAUGUUCGCCAAAAGGAGAAGCUGAUAAUGGGCCUAAGAAGAUACGGCGAUGUAAGGAUAAAUCCGUGACUCGAUAGGAAGCGGAGGCAGAGGGUACGAUAGGAAUCCGUGGAAACGAUGACUGAGGAACAGGAAGGAGUCGCCUUCAGCCAGGCUGCGGUGCACACAACGAAGCAAAGUGGUGGCGAGAAGUGGAGGAGGAGGAUAAUCUUGCCCGCACUGUUCUCUUGACCUCGGAGCACAAAGGCGCCCAACGAGCUGAAAACCGCCUCGCAGCUCUCUCCCAGCAAACUAUCCACCGUAGUUCUGUGACGGUACAUAGUUAUCAAAAGCGAGUAAACCGCUGGAGAAAAUUUCGACUGUGUGACCUGUGUGUGUGUGUGAGUGGUGUGGAGCAUGACGGCGCACAUAUAGACUUCUGACAAUUUCACAUGUACACAAUACUAAAUGUUAAAUAAAGUUUUCAACGCAAGCUCGCGCGUUGUACCGAGAUUUUCAUUGGAAUUGCUGCCUGUCGUCAGGGAUUAACGGUUGCAUUGAGAAGAGUAAAACAAUAAAUUUAAAAAAUGAUUCUUCUUCUUCACAGACUUAUUUUAAGUCAUAUUCUAUUUAAUCGAACUUUUUCUCAAAUUUCUGCCAGUACAUCUAAUUCGCAAUUGCUCAUUCAAUCGUACAAAGCUCUCCUCUUCGAGUUUCGAUUUCGUCGGUCGGUCGGUCGGCAGCACUAAAACGGAAGUUUCAUUUCGGUCCCUUCCUGACGCCACGCCUUAAAAUUUUAAGCGGAUCGCCUAGGAUACGAAGGAAUCGGGAAAAAGAGACAGCAUUCGUGCAACUUUAUCGACGAUGAAAAGGCGACCCUGACCUCGCUGGGGCGUGACAACCUACGCUUUUCGUUCUUCUAUAGACCCCAAGAGAUUUCGUUUUCCUCGUUCAACCCCACGUGCUAUCGCAUUCUUCGCUCUCGCAGACGAAAACGGAGAAAAUGUACGCAUAUCGAAUCCAGUUGACAAUUGCCGAUAUAAUACAUGAUCUACAUAAAAAAAAGGUUUAACAAUUGCCGUGUCGUAUCCUAAUUUGUACAAAUAUAUAUUUAAAUAGUUUGCGAUAAUGUGUCAGUAAAUCACCAAAGAAUAAGUUCAUUUGUUUCACAUCGAAGAAUUGACUGACAUAAAUUCAGUUAAGAGACCACAUUAUUUUUAGCGGGUAUCAAUGUCAGUAUGAAUGUCAGACAAUGGUGACAAAAGAGGACUGAAGGGAAACCUGAACGAGUCUAGGAAACUCUCAGAAUAACGAGAAACAGCGAUUAUCGACAGCUGUCGUCAUGUCAAGAUUCUAACGGUCGCUGAAUAUAGAUUGAGUAUCGCAAACGAGUACGAAGUAAGCACGCGAGUCAAUUAAAAAAAAAAGAAACGGAAAGAAAAUAAAAGAUAUACCUAUUAAUUUACGACAUUCUAAACGAAUAAAGUGUCGCUUAUACAUGCACGAUUUAAUUCUUCAUACAUUUUGUAAACAAAACUAUCGUAUAAGUAUCGUAAAAUAUAAGCUCCAAUAUUACAGCCAACUGUGACGUUUCGAUAUGAACUUGAUAACUCAAUAUUAAUCGUCAUUAUUGUACUAUGCCAAUAUCUGCUUUAGCUCGACUAACAGUACAGUAACAUUUCGAUGAUAGCGGCGUACGCUGUAUAAAUACACCGUUACAUAGAGACCGACGUGAAAUUUGUCGCACGGAUUAAUUUUAAAGGGUUAAUAACAUGUGUGUUGGCCUCGGUUCGACAAACGCGCUCCGUUAACAUUCCGAUAACGCACGUAAUUUUGUGGAUCCGUAGCGGUAGGUAUGACAAUGUAAAGUACAAAGGUUGACAUCGUCUGCCUCUGUAAUCCACGUUAUUUUCCACGCUUUGCAGGAUAUUGAAAUUCGUUUAAAUUUCACGGCAUUAUUCGCGACGUGUAAUUUAAUUUAACGGCGGGGAAUAAUCGUAUAAAUAUACAGACCGAUCAUUCGCACUCGCAACUUUUUCAUAAUUCGCGCAGUAUCAUCGCGUUUCAGUAUUACGUACAGAGAUUGCAUUUCGGCAACUUUUACACAUUUAACGUCCAACGUUGUAAACACACACACACAAAAUAUGUGUAAAACAUAUCAAUAAAGUUUGCUAUAAGUAAGUAUAGUGCAUUAUAAAGUUUAACUGAAAUUUUUACCCAUGCAUCGAGUACAUCGUUACGACUUUAUCAUAGGAAACAGUUUGUUUAAUCACAAAAUUCGCGAUAUAAGCUCGCGCAACGAUAAAAAUUAAUGGGCAACGUAACCUUAGGCCACAAAUAAUCGCGCUAUGCAGUAUCGCUGUAUGGACUAUCGUGAGCAUGCACACGGCGCUACGCACAUCGUUACAACGUUAUCGUUAACACGUAACUGUUAGUCCGUUCGUUAUCUUUCGAUACGCCUGCCACAUUCGACGAAUAGAUUCCUUUUAAUUGCAGUUUCGUUCGAUGCAAUGGCAAAUUCGGGCACAACGCACUGCACAACAGCGCAUGGUUGGAAUCGAAUUGGAAAUUUCUCUAUUUGCAACGGAGUUAAAGUGACAUGCGAUGGAAAUGGAUCGAGCAAACGAAGAAACGGCUUGUUACGCCAAUCUAAUGGACAGCUUUAAUUACAAUGGGCAUGUAUAUGUAUGAAAGAACUAUAUACGUAUAUGUGCAUAUAUCCGUCAUGUACACAUUACGUACAGGUUCUCUGUACGAAACCAUCGUAUCCCUCAGAAAUUAGCAUAACAAUUCUUUCAGCGUCAUGCAUUUUUCAUAUGCUCGUUCACAGGUAACAAGUGUAAAUUCUUUUUUUACUAUUUGUUAAACUCUGGUCGUCACCUAGUUUGGAGAUAUGAUUUGAGCAAAAUACAGUAAUGCAUUCGUUCCGACGAUACGUUUUUUUUUGCAUGUACAUCAUACAUGUCAUAUCAUCAUUGUGCGGUAUUAUCAUGUUAACGUUAUCAAAAACAAACGUGGAAACUACAAAGCGUUAUUACUUAUGUAUGUGUGUGGCAAAUAAUACGAGUAUAUUAUACAAGAAGAAAUUUGUGAUAAAAAUUGUUAGAAAAAAAUUAAAUACAAUAAAAUCUUUAUUAACCCCG